rnacentral:rRNA from 1 species
UACGAAGGACCCGAGCGUUAUCCGGAUUUAUUGGGUUUAAAGGGUGCGUAGGUGGAACGGUAAGUCAGUGGUGAAAGCCUGUUGCUUAACAACAGAACUGCCAUCGAUACUGCCGAUCUUGAGUACAUAUGAUGUGGGCGGAAUGUGCCAUGUAGCGGUGAAAUGCUUAGAUAUGGCACAGAACACCGAUUGCGAAGGCAGCUCACAAAACUGUAACUGACACUGAGGCACGAAAGCGUGGGGAUCAAACAGG